rnacentral:tRNA from 2 species
GGAGAGGUGGCUGAGUGGUUGAAAGCAGCAACCUGCUAAGUUGUUGACCCUCAAAAGGGGUCCGAGGGUUCGAAUCCCUCCCUCUCCG